AUACGGAGGAUCCGAGCGUUAUCCGGAUUUAUUGGGUUUAAAGGGAGCGUAGGCGGAGGAUCAAGUCAGCUGUGAAAUGUAGACGCUCGACGUCUGCACUGCAGUUGAAACUGGUCCCCUUGAGUGCGUAAGGGGCAGGCGGAAUUCGUCGUGUAGCGGUGAAAUGCUUAGAUAUGCCGAAGAACUCCGAUCGCGAAGGCAGCUUGCCGGGCCGCAACUGACGCUGAAGCUCGAAGGUGCGGGUAUCGAACAGGAUUAGAUACCCUGGUAGUCCGCACAGUAAACGAUGGAUACUCGCUGUCGGCGAUAUACGGUCGGUGGCCAAGCGAAAGCGUUAAGUAUCCCACCUGGGGAGUACGCCGGCAACGGUGAAACUCAAAGGAAUUGACGGGG
rnacentral:rRNA from 1 species